GGCUGCAACUCGCCUGCAUGAAGUCGGAAUUGCUAGUAAUCGCAGAUCAGCAUGCUGCGGUGAAUACGUUCCCGGGCCUUGUACACACCGCCCGUCACACCAUGGGAGUCGGUAACACCCGAAGUCGGUAGCCUAACCGUAAGGAGGGCGCCGCCGAAGGUGGGAUUGAUGACUGGGGUGAAGUCGUAACAAGGUAGC
rnacentral:rRNA from 1 species